rnacentral:rRNA from 1 species
AUGGACCAUUCCAUCCCUUUUUCCUGUGCAUAUGCAUCGGAUUCGGAUGACGAAGGUCCCGAUGAACAAGUUGAUGAGGAGGGGUUCACGGUGAAGGAGGCCGAAGCUUUUGAGAAGGUAUUCGGUCGGGAUCACAAGACACCAUUGUUCAAGGAUGUUAGUCUCGCGGAUGAAGCCGUUGUGGAUGGUGGCAAAUCUAUAUCUCUUGGGGUUAGGCCAAGCUCUCACCGUGAUUUGGGAGACGACAAGAACCGGAUUGCUAAAGGGUCUAAGUUCGAAACCUUGUUGGAAUUGAAGAUGUGGCUCGACAACUACUCGGUUACGCAUUAUCGUCCACACAAGGUGGUGCACUUGGACGUCAAUGUGCGCUAG